rnacentral:lncRNA from 1 species
UUUUUUUUUUUUGUUUUAAUAUUUUUAAAAACUAACUUGUUAUUCUGGAAGUCCAAUGACCAUAACGCUAUCAUCGAAACCUUAAGGUAACGAGAAAGAAAUUCCCCAAGCCUUCUUUCACCUAAAAUUCGGGACUUAUUGUGAGUUUACAGCAAGUACGACCAAGCUCCCGAUGAUGGCCCUAAAUCUCUUAGAUCGAUCAAUACUGAAUUUAAUGGAAUGGUAAUCUUCCUAACCUUCUUACGACUAUUAUUGUUAGUAAACUAAUGGAAAGGAAUACUAUUUCUAUUAUUAGAAUCUGAAUAUAUAGAGCAAAUAGCAAAAGACUAGUUACAACUUGGCCCUCCAAUAAUAAUAAAUGAUUACUAGAUCCUAACACCCAGGAAUUUGGCUUGGAAAUCUUACAAGUUUAGCUUGGAAAUGAGAUUCUGAUGUCUAGCAAUACCCAGGAAUUUGGUUAAAACGUCAGCAAGUUGACCAGUGGUUGGAAUAUGAACAACUUUGAGAAACCCGAGAGAAACCUUCUCACGAAUUAUAUGGAAAUCAAUUUCGAUAUGCUUCGUUCGUUCGUGUGCAACAGGGUUCUCAUCCGUUCGUAUAGCAGAGGUGUUAUCGCGGAAAAUAGGAAUAGUUGAACUGAAAUUCAAGUGCAAGUCACGAAACAAAUAACUAAACCAUUGUAAUUUGCAACUGGUUGCAGCCAAGGCUCGAUACUCAGCCUCAGCAGAUGAUUGUGACACAGUCUGUUGCUUUUUAGACUUCCAUGAUAUGAGAGACUCCCCAAGAAAUAAACAAAACCCAUUUGUGGAUCGUCUAGUCUCUAAGCAACCUGUCCAAUCACUGUCAGAAAAGGCACGGAGCUACGUACCUGAAUCAACCGGGAAAAAUAAACCUUUACCUCAAUUGUUCUUGAUGUGUUAGUUGGAUUAGAUACAAACGGACUCAACUAGUUUAUAAAAAAGCUGAUAUCUGGACGGCUAGUACAUAAGUAAAAAAGCCUGCCAAUUAAUCGACGAUAAGAACUACGAUCAAUCAAAGGAAUGCUAGUUUGAGGAGUCAACCGAGCUCUUAGAUCAGAGGGUGUUGCAGCUGGUUUGCUGCCAAUGAGACUAGAAUCAACACGGAUCUAAAGAGCAUAUUUUCUUUGGCAUACUGCAGUUCCUCUAGUAGAUCUUGCCAUUUCCAGGCCUAAAAAAUACUUGACCGGACCAAUGUCCUUGAUGGUGAAUUUUUCAUGGAGCUGCCUAUUUAAUAGCUCACUCCCAUCAAUAUCAUCACCAGUAACGACAAUAUCAUAUACAUAAAUACAACAAGAAAGUGUGAGGUACUGAUUUUGGUGAAAAGGGAUCUGCUUUGGAUUGAAUAAAACCAUAGCUCAACAAGAAUUUUGUCAAUUUGAAGUUCCAUUGUCUACUUGCUUCUUCAAGCCCACAUAUACAAUUUUCUGACGAUAUUUUAGCGAGGAAGUUUCAGAGCCUGAGGAUAUUUCAUGUAAACAUCCUCAGUUAAAUCACCAUGCAAAAAAGCUAUAUUAACAUCUAAUUGAUGUAAGUGUCAAUGCUUAAUAGCAGCAAGGGCAAGCAAUGCACGAAGAGUAGUCAUCUUUGCAACAAGUGCAAAGGUAAUUUAUAUAGUCGAUAUCAACAGUUUUUCUAAAACCUUGAAUAACUAAAUGGGCUUUGUAGUAUUAAAGAGCACCAUUGGCCUUAUACUUAACCCUAAAUAUCCAUUUGCUACAAAGAACGGUUACUCCUUUUGGAACAGCAGCUAGGUCAACAAGGGACCAAGUUUUGGUAUGAUCUAAUGAUUGAAGUUCACUGUUAACAACAUUGUUCCAAUUGGGAUCCCUUGAGCCUCCUUAUACAAGGUAGAUUCUAUAAUGGAAUCAAUACCAAGAAUAAACUUUGCAAACUAAGUAGCCAAAUACUUGAUUGAGAUGUGUUUGCUGAUGCAAUGAGGAUGAGUAGACUGCACCGCAUGACAUUUGAAAUCGGUUAGAUAAUUGGGUUGUUUCUAAUGCCUAUUGGAACGUCGGGGACCCGAAAUAUCAGCAUAAACAAUAGGGUUAUUAGAAGCAUAGGGAAAAUCCAUAGAAGUGUCAUCUGAUGCAACAUCAUCAGAGACCAAGUCAGCAACCUGAGCAGAAUCCUCAGGAAUCACCACACAAUCAGUCGACCACUCAAGGAUCGAAGGCAAGUGAGCUAUCUUGGAUCGAGGAUGAGGGUUAAUCUCAAAGCUCGGAAUAGGAUCGAUGAUGGGGAAAGUUACAGAACUAUCAUGUGAGGAUGAUAAUGAAGCAAAAGGAAAUAUAUGCUCACCAAAUGUAACAUUACGAAAGUCAAUGAACUUGAGAAUCCAAGUCAUAGACUCUGUAACCCGUUUUAUUAGGCGGAUAACCUUAAAAUAUACACGAUCGAGCACGAGGGGAUAGUUUUGAUCGACCAUGAGCUAAAGUGGAAGCAUACCAUUGACAACCAAACACUUUAGGUGAGAUAACGGACAGCUAAAAGUGGUGUGGAAAGUCUAUUUAUGAUGUGAACCACCUAAACAGCAGCAUCAGCCCAAAAAGUCGGAGGUAAAGAUGCUUCAAACAACAAGGCACGAGUAGGAGCAAGUAUAAGCUUAUGUUUACGCUCAACUCUUCCGUUUUGUUGGGAGUUGGAAACACAAGUAGUUUGAUCAAGGAUGUCCUUGGCCGUGAAGAAAGAUGGAAUAUGAAACUCAAGCCCAUUGUCACUACGAAUUAUUCUAAUUUUUUCGUCAUACUGAGUUUCAACUAAUUGACAAAAAUCAAGCAUGACUUCACGAUCUGUGUUUUGAUUUUUAACUAGUAAAUCCAAGUAACCCCAGAGUAAUCAUCUAAUAUGGUAUGAAAAUACCAAUAGCCAUCCAUUGAAAUGUGAGACCAUGGUCCCCAAAUAUCUAAAUGAAGUCAUUCAAACAACUAUGAUGCUUGAGAAGCACUAUUGGAAAAACUAAAUUUUUGUUACCACACAACAAAAUGUUUAUAGGUCAAUAUUGACGCUAUCUUCAUAGCGGCAAGUUUGACCAUCUAUAGCGGCAAUAUUUCUAAAAUUUUCGGAAGGGGGUGUCAAUAUUGCCGCUAUGGUUAUGUCAAACAUGGCGCUAUGUGUAUAGCGCCAAUUUGGACAGUCCAAAGCGCCAAUAUUGACAUAACUCUCUGAUCAAAGUUGUAGGAAACUGAACGAGCUUUCCAACGCCAUCGGUUUUGCAUCAAUCGAACUUCUGAGCUAGGAGAUAUGUCCAAAAUACAAAACUGCCACGUUUUUCUAACCAAGUCGAGAUCCAACCUCCUUGAAGAUGUCAAAAUGCUUCACAUUGCUUGUCCUUGACCAUCCACACACACCGUAUCAUUUCGAUUAAUGCCUCGAUAUUGUUACGUAUCUGAAAUCUAUCAAAAACACUCCAAAAUAACUUCAAAUGGAUCCCGACCGGGUCCGAGACACUAAAUCGAGAUAGAAGCUACAAAUGCGCAGAACACCCUAAACAUCUACCCAAAAAUAUAUAAAUAUGCAUUGAAUGUCGCUUAAAUAAGGGCGAUGAACACGAAAAAUCGAGUGUCAUCAGUAAGUGUAUCCUCCAUAGUACCUCUCUCUACAACUCCCUCAAGCUACUCGUUCGAGGUGUCGGGGCUGCUCGUGCUGACUUCUUAGGCGGCAUUGGCUCUGUUAGUUUCAUAGUCGUACAUACAUAUAAGAUAGGUUAUGGGGUCUGUGAUAAGCACUGAGUGGCAAUCUAGACUCGUAUAGAAUUGAGACCGAAAUCGUGGAUAGAACAUAGAAGUCUAUCUAGUUACUAUUCUAGUAAUGUGACCCUGUGGUCCUCUAGGCAUCUACCUAGAAUCAGCCACCUCUACAUUGUGUGGAUAGCCUCAUGGUGGAUCCAACCAUGAAACCAUCCUAAACCUCCUUGUGAGCAGCAUUUGUAGGCGUACUCGACACAUCAUUAGCAUGUUACAUGAAUACUUAAAAGGAUUGUGCAAUCCGGGGUGAGUGACCAAUGCAUCGUGAUCUAGUGUAGCUAGGCCUAUCCUCUCCUAUCAUGAAUCGUGGAUCACAUGCCACAGUUCAAUCGUUAAGAGCUUCAGCCUGAAUCAUGUUACAUCUGUUGUACAAUAGAUCGCACGCUACUGCACAGCCUUAAAGCACUCGCUUAACAUCAUGUCACAUCAUGUUACAACACAUUGUGAACCCUUUCACAGGAUUCCCCAAUCAUCCUAUUACAGUUCUACUCUUAUGAAGCAAUAUGUAAUCUUAAACCCCAACCUCUGCUUCAUGUAGAGUCUGAAGUUGAACCAACCUUCACGAAGCCUAGCUUCUUUUCCAAAAUGACCUGAAGAGAUCAAUCCAAUUAUUGAUUUCCCAAAAUCCCAAUUGUCAGGAUUUUCUAUGUAAGUCUCUAGUUGUAGGAUUAAGAGAGAAGAAGAAGAUUGAUUACCUUUAGAUGCUUCUCCUAGCCUCUCUAACCCUCUAACAGCGAUCGGGGAUCGAUCAGCUUUGCCUUCUUCCAUUGAUCGAUCUUCUCCUCCUCCUGAGAUGAGAGUGUCGCUCGUCAGAAAUAUUUCAAUUUUAAGCUCUAUGUUUUUCUGAGUUCUCAUGUCGCGGAAUGGUUUUAUAAUAAGUCCACCACGCCCGUGGCGAACUUACCACCACGCCCAUGAUUCCCCGACGAUCAAGCACGUGAUCUACUGAUGAUCACGGUCGUGGUGAACUUGUGGUCACGCUCGUGACGUACUGCUGACCACGGUCGUGAUUAACCUGGCAAACACGAGCGUGACAGGCUCACAGUCACGCUCGUGAUUGUCCACCCGUUAGACCAUUUCCAAAACUUAGAUUAACUCGAGAAUCGGUAAUCGACCCGAAAUCGGGGUGUCACAGCUGAGCUCUUAUUUCUCUGGGAGACUAUUAUUUUCCGUGUUAUCUUGUACAAAGUAGAGACCACCUAGUUAUAGGCUUAUAUAGGUUGACCAUGUACCACCAAGGAAUACUAAUACUAAUUGGAAUAGAAUUAGUGUUCCUUUCCUUGUACAAAAAGACCUAUACUACCUAGGAAUACUAAUACUAAUUGGAAUAGAAAUAGUAUUCUAAUCCUUGUAAAAUAAAGGUUUCCUACCCAUAGUAGGAUUAGGAGACACAUUCCAACAGUAUGACUGAAAUCCUUAAACAUUGCCUCUUAGAGUGUAGUUGGGUGUCCAGAAUCUGAAAUUAAUCUCCUAUUGCCCACCAAACAAAAUCGCAGGACAGAGCUCAGAUUGUCGAGUCAGAUUGUUAGAAACUUGUGCGUAUGAUUAAGCAGAAUGUUGGAUUGCAGGACAGAGCUCGGAACUGUGUGUUGUCAUAUUACUAUUCCAAUGAAUCAACUGGAUAUAAGAGAUGGAAGUUUUGUCUAUAGGGAAUCUAACAAUGCGCAUUGCUUGGUGAUGUGAAUGAGAAGGAGUGGUUUGUUGAGAUGCCUGAGAAUAUUGUUGUUGUUGUAAAUUCUGAGACGAACUACUCUUGAGUUUGUUUCAAUGUAAAUGGCCAGUUUUAUCUCAAAAAAAGAAAUCCAUGAACCGAUCAAGAUUAAUCCCCUAAAAUCUAUGGAUAGCAUGUGUCGAAAUGAUUUCGGUGAUGAAACUAUCCUACUCAGCCAUCGAUAUUAUCGGGGAUAGGAAAUGAGAUUGAAAGCGUCAAGUUCAUUCAUUGAUUAAGUUUUGGUCUUAUACAAUCGAUCGAGGAGCAACAUGACAAAAGGGAAAAUAGAAUCAAAUCUGCAAUUCCUGCAGCUACAGCUCUGGGAAACGUUUAACAGAAAUUGCAGGGGAAGGAUGAGUUGGCAGGUUGCUGCGUAGGAAGGAGGAUUGAGCUCGUCAUCAUUAUCCGUUUGGUCUGAACGUCGUCGUCUCGUUGCAAUAUCGAUUCUCCUCGUUUCAGCAAGUAAGUGAUACGGUGUGUAUCGUAGGGAAGUGAAAAGUUCCCUUUUCCUAAUAGCAUGAAAGAAGAUGAUCUCGUCAGGCUGAAUCUUCCAUUGAUGUCCCCUGAAACUGAAGAAAAUUGGAAAGGUGCAGGGCGCAAGGCUUUGGUAAACAUGUCAGCCACCUGCGAGUCUGUGCGUACGUGGAGAAGCUUCACAGUGUCAUCUUGAACCUUUUCUCGAAUCAGGUGACAAUCCAGCUCUAUGUGUUUGGUCCGUUCAUGAAAGCUGGGGUUGGUUGCAAUGUGUAUGGCUGAUUGGUUGUCGCAGUAGAUUAAUGCAGGCAUGGGAUGAAAAACAUCAAGGUCUUUGAGGAGGUAGAGGAUCCAUUGCAAUUCGCAAGCAGUGUGAGCUAAAGCUCGAUACUCUGCUUCACACGACGAUCUUGACACUGUGCUUUGUUUCUUGCUUUUCCAGGAUAUAAGUGAAUCACCAAGAAAAACAGCAUACCCUGUGAUUGAUCGCUUGCUGUCUGGACAAGCUGCCCAAUCUGAGUCACUGAAGGCCUUUAAUUGGAUGUUGGAGGAGCAUGGGAAGUACAGUCUAGAUGCUGGUGCUCCCUUGAGAUAUCGUAGGAUCCUGGUUACUGCCUUGUAAUGAUUUUCAGUAGGAUUUGCCAUGAAUUGGCUGACUUGUUGAGCAGCAAAACUAAUAUCUGCUCUAGUUGUAGUGAGAUAGAUUAGCUUCCCAACUAGCCUUCUGUAAUGUUCUGGAUCUUUGUAGCAGUUUGAAUCAUCAGCACUAAGAUGCUGUUUGUAAUUCAUUGGUGUAUUUGCUGGUUUAGCAUCAAGCAAUCCAGCUUCUUCCAGGAUUUCUAAUGUGUACUUCCGUUGAGAUAAAUGAAUGCCUUCUGGAUUCCUCCCAACUUCCAAACCUAAGAAAAACUUCAAAUGUCCCAAGUCCUUAAUCUUGAACUCUGAGUGGAGACACACUUUGAGUGCAGCUAUCUCCUUGAGAUCAUUUCCUCCAAGUAUUAGGUCAUCCACAUAUAUCAGUGCCGCUGUAAAUGAUCCCGCUUGAUUUUUGAUGAAAUAAGGAGUAGUCUACCUUGCUCUGCUCAUAGCCUUGAUUUUUCAGUUUCUCUGAUAGCUUAGAAAACCAUUGCCUUGAAGCUUUUUUUAAACCAUAGAGUGACUUAUGCAGCUUGCACACUGAAUUUUUUUGGUAAUCCUUGCUCCUUCAUUCCCAAGGGUAGCUUCAUGUAUACGUCUUCCUCCAAAUCACCAUGUAAGAAGGCAUUGUUGAUGUCCAGUUGGUGUAGGUGCCAUCUUUUAAUUGAUGCCAAAGCAAGAAAAGCCCUUAUUGUUGUCAUCUUGACCACUGGUGCAAAUGUUUCCUGGUAAUCAAGGCCUUCAGUUUGAGUGUACCCUUUGGCCACCAAUCGUGCCUUAUAUCUCUCAAUGCUGCCAUCAGACUUGUAUUUCACCCUGUACGCCCACUUGCAUCCAAUUGCUUUGACUCCUACAGGUAAUGACACUAUGCUCCAAGUCUUGUUCAAAUGCAAAGCUGCAAGUUCAGCUUUCAUGGCUGCUUCCCAGAUUUCAAAUUUAACAGCUUCUGCAUAGCUCUGUGGUUCUUUCAGGGUAGAGAUGCUUAAAACAAACCUCUUAUGGGUGUCAUGGAGCAAGUCAUAACUCAGAACAUGAGAUAGAGGGUGGCUUACUGAUUUCUUUGCAUCCACAGGACUUGCACUGGAGACUUGAUUGGUUCUUCUGCUCUGCAUCAGGAGAUCACAGUGGAAAUCCUGCAAGUAGUUAGGUGGUUUGUGGUGUCUGGUAGUCCUCCUAAGUGGUUCAAGCUGCACUACAGGUUGAUUUGCUUCGUCAUUUUGGCUUGAAUUAUCAUGAUCAGCAAGAUGGUUUUCAUCUGGUGUGUGUGGUUGGUCCUGGUUUGAAGGUGUGGUAGGAGUAGUGUCGUCUUGGAGUGGUAUGGAAGUUUCAGUGUUGGUCUGGUUUGGCAUGGUCUCAAUGUCAAAAUCAGCACUCGAUGAUGUGGCUUGUAUGGUUUGUUCUGGUGUGGCGUUGUUUGGCUUAUCGUAGGGAAAAAUUUUCUCAUGGAAAAUUACAUCCCUAGAGGUGAAAACUUGAUGAGUGUGUAAAUCAUAUAAUCUGUAUCCUUUGAUUCCUUCUGUGAAACCAAGAUGGAUGCAUUUUCUAGCUCGUUUUUCGAAUUUGGUCCUAUGACCAGCUAAGGUGGAUGCAUAGCAGAGGCUACCAAAAACACGAACAGUAGCUAGAGAGGGAGGGUUGUUGUUUAGCAUUUCAUAGGGUGUUUUGUUUUUGAGCACAGCAGUAGGUGUGCGAUUGAUUAGGUAUACUGCAUGUUUGACAUAAUCUGCCCAGAAGCCUAUAGGGAGUUUGGCUUGAAAGGUGAGUGCUCUAGCAAUGUUAAGAAUGUGUUGGUGUUUGCGUUCUACUCUGCUGUUUUGUUGUGGGGUUUCAACACAGGUAGUAUGAUGAAGAAUUCCCUUUUCAUGAUAGAAGUCAGGCAUAUCGAAUUCCUUGCCUUGGUCACUACGGAUGGUUUUAACAUGGACUUUGUAGUGAGUAUGAACAAAAAUGCAGAAAUGCUGUAAAAGGGAAUGUGUUUCAGACUUCAAUUUCAUUAACUGAAUCCAAGUGUUUCGACUAUAGUCGUCUACAAUGGUAAGAAAAUAACGGUAUCCGCUAUAUGAGGGCUGUGCCAUUGGCCCCCAAAUAUCAACAUGGAUCAUGUCAAAUGGUUGUGAUGAAGUAGAAGAGCUAGAAGGAAAAACUAAUCUAUGUUGCUUGGCAUAAUGGCAGACAUCACAGGGUAGAUUAGGGUGUGUGUGUAUGGUUGAGGGUGUGUGUGAAUGGUUGGAUCAAGUUGAAAUGAAAAUCAGGCACAAAGAGAACAUCAUGCAACGUCAAUUGGGGUGAAAUGAUCACUGAACCAAUGUGAGUGGCUUGAACUUGGUGUCUUGUUGGGAGAUUGAUGAUCACAUUUUCAACUUCAUGGUAAGUACUGAAAUUGCUUAACAGGCAUGUAACAUGAUCAGAGGCACCUGUAUCUAGGAUCCAUUUUUCAUGAUCCUUUGAUGCUAAGGUCUGCAUGCUUAAAAUGUCAGUAAACUUGCCUGAGGGUUGUUGUGUGAAAGCAGCUACAUAAUGAGCACCUGUAGAAGCUGCAGGAUCGUCUGCUCCUUUGGCUUUGAGCUGCAUCAUGGCCAUUAACUGAUUGAACUGGUCUUGUGACAUUUGCACACCAUUCCCUUCAGAGCUCCUGACUGCAUUGGCUCGAGGCCUAAACUUUGGAUUUGAGUUCCUUUGCUUAAAGUUUGAGGAGCCAGGUUGCGACCUUGGUUCCAUACCAGGUGGAAAUCCAUUUUUAAAGAAACAUCUGUCCUCAGUAUGGUUGGUCAUUUUGCAGAAGGUGCAGUAAAGCUUGGGCUUCCCUUCUGAGCCAUAUGGCCUAUUUGAGUUGUGUUGAUGGGCUGCAAAGUUAACCAUGGCAUUGACAUCUGAAUGAUUCUGCUUCUGAGUAGCCAUUGCCAUCCCAUCUGUACCUGGCUUUCCUUGUGUACCAAACUGUUGGCGUUCAUGCUGCACCAUUCGUUGAACUACCCUUUCCAAAGUUGGUAAUCUGUCUCCAAAGAGGACUUGACUCCUUGGUCCAGCAAAAUUUUCAUUCAAUCCUCGCAAGAAGUGUAUAACUGCAUUAGUCUCUUCAUACUCCUCUAUCAGCUUGAUGGCCCUGCAAUCCAAAUGACUCACAGCAGUGCAAUAACAAGGCAUAAGGGGUUGAUAAUUCUUUAGUUCAUCUCGAAGUGUGAUUAUGGAUCCAUGGUACUCAGUUAUGGAUUGAUUUCCUUGCAUGAGAUUGGAAAGUUCUUCCUGAAUCUCAGCUAUUCGUAUGACAUCUCCCUGUCCAUACCUGUUCUUCAAACUUUCCCAUGCUUCUACUGCUGUUUUAAAGCCAAGUAUGGUUUUUCGAAUACCUGUUUCAACUGAUUGUUGGAUCCAACUCAGGACCAUGAUGUUGCAUCUGGUCCAUGGCCAGAACAUCACAUUGUUGGCUUCUGGCUCCUCUAUGUCUCCUGUGAUGAAGCCUAGUUUAUUCUUAGCCCCUAGGGCCUUUUUCAUAGACCUGCUCCAGUCUGUGUAGUUUGAUGGAGAUAGUUUUUCAGCAACCAGCGAUUGUCCUGGCUGCUCGCUACCAUGUAGGUAGUAUGGAUCUGCGAGUGGAUAGUCUCCAUUGAUGACAAUUUUGUUCCGCCAUUGUUAUGGAGCUCUAAGCUCUGAUACCAUAUUAUCGGGGAUAGAAAGUAAGAGAGAAAAGCGUGUGUGUUUCAUUGAUUGAGUGUUGGUCUUAUACAAUGCAUAGAGGAGCAACAUGACAAGAAGAAAUGGAAUCAAAUCUGCAAUUCCUGCAGUUACAGUUCUGAGAAAUGUUUAACAGAAUUUGCAGGGGGAAGGAGGAGCUGGCUGCUUGCUGGAGCUCGUCAGCAUUAUCCGUUUGGCAACGUCGUCGUCUUGGUGUAGAUCGAUGGCACCGUUUAUGCUGGAACCGAAUUGCUGGGAAUCUACUAUGGGCUUCAGUAUGACAUGCUAUCAUACUGAAGCAGAAAAGCACAGAGGUUGAUCUUGUCUAGGUCCAAACUGCCACAGGCUCACCUUCUUGACUUUCGAUGUUGUAUCUGGGAUAGGCUAUGUGUUGAGCCUUGACCUUGUUUACAGAAUAAUUUAUGCCUUGACAUUUGUCUGCUUUCGAGUUGGUAGCAUACAAUUUUCGCUGGGUACAGAUGAUCAAAUCAUCUGUAUGUGCAGAUGAUUUCAAUGGACGGCUGAAGCUGGCCAAAAUUGAUCUGACGACUAGCAACAAAAAUCCCAAGAAAUUUAAUUGGGAUCAAGAGAAUCUUGUAUCUCUCUCUGUUCCUACCUCCGUCUCCGACUUCAUCACCUCCGCCAAAUUACCCAGUUUCAUCAUAAUCCAUCUCCUCCAUCAAAAUCCCUUUCAUAAUCGAUCAUAAUUCAUAUAUCCCUCAUAAUCCAUAUGCUCUUCUCCUCCUGAGUUUCACACCUAAAUCCAUCUGCUCUUCUUCUUCGACUUUCCAAAUCUAAAUCGACUUGUGAAUGGUCAAUCCUCGAGCAGGACAGGCGUGCAAAAAAUUAGCGGAAGCCGAAGGAACAAGAGAUCAAUUUUUGCCAGCUUCAAUCAUCCAUUGUACCCAGCGGAAAUUGGGUAGAAUAAUGAUCAUACAAACUUAGGAAGCAUGUGCUUGUCAGUUCGGUUCUACUCGACAAGAUUAAAAAAAAAAGAACUUUAUAAUAUGGAACUGAAAUAUUUGAUUGUAUCAGUCCAGUUUCUACAAUCAUCCAAUGAUUUUAGUUCAUCACAUCAUUCAUUCUAAGUUCUAACUCCAUGAUCUAAAUAUUUACUAUUUGCAACCGUUGGCAAUUCUUCCUAUUCAUUCUUCCUUCUUUAGAACAAAGCCGAACAAACGAACAAACAAAGGCUGUAGCAGCAACAUGAGUACAUGGCUAUAUCAAACACAUAACAUCUAACAGCUGCAAGAACCAGAAAUUGAUCGACAAAAUGAACAAAAAACAGACAAAUCCUGUUGUGUACUUGUGUUUCCAACAACUCGCAUAAGCAGAUUAAAAAUAAUAAUGCAGAGACAAGAUAGCAAGCAUCUAAUCGUUUCCAUGUAAUUGCCCAAAACUAGGUGGUUUAAUUUCAAGACUACUCCUCUUACAGUAGCCAAAAUAACCACCACAACAGUUCAUCCAUCAUCAUCACCUUAGCACAAAAAAGAACACCUUAC